GUUGAAGAACGCAGCAAAAUGCGAUAAGUAAUGUGAAUUGCAGAAUUCAGUGAAUCAUCGAAUCUUUGAACGCACAUUGCGCCCGCUGGUAUUCCGGCGGGCAUGCCUGUUCGAGCGUCAUUUCAACCCUCAAGCCCCCGGGUUUGGUGUUGGGGAUCGGCUCUGCCCUUCUGGGCGGUGCCGCCCCCGAAAUACAUUGGCGGUCUCGCUGCAGCCUCCAUUGCGUAGUAGCUAACACCUCGCAACUGGAACGCGGCGCGGCCAUGCCGUAAAACCCCAACUUCUGAAUGUUGACCUCGGAUCAGGUAGGAAUACCCGCUGAACUUAAGCAUAUCAAUAAGCGGAGGA
rnacentral:misc_RNA from 1 species